rnacentral:rRNA from 1 species
GAUGAACGCUGGCGGCGUGCCUAAUACAUGCAAGUAGAACGCUGAAGGAGGAGCUUGCUCUUCUGGAUGAGUUGCGAACGGGUGAGUAACGCGUAGGUAACCUGCCUGGUAGCGGGGGAUAACUAUUGGAAACGAUAGCUAAUACCGCAUGACAACAGUUAUUGCAUGAUAACUGUUUAAAAGGGGCAACUGCUCCACUACCAGAUGGACCUGCGUUGUAUUAGCUAGUUGGUGAGGUAACGGCUCACCAAGGCGACGAUACAUAGCCGACCUGAGAGGGUGAUCGGCCACACUGGGACUGAGACACGGCCCAGACUCCUACGGGAGGCAGCAGUAGGGAAUCUUCGGCAAUGGACGGAAGUCUGACCGAGCUACGCCGCGUGAGUGAAGAAGGUUGUCGGAUCGUAAAGCUCUGUUGUAAGAGAAGAACGAGUGUGAGAGUGGAAAGUUCACACUGUGACGGUAUCUUACCAGAAAGGGACGGCUAACUACGUG